UACCCGCAGCACAAGUGGUGGUCAUUAUUAUUGGGCCUAAAGCAUCCGUAGCCGGCCUUACAAGUCCUCCGUUAAAUCCAGCUGCUUAACAGAUGGGCUGCGGAGGAUACUAUAAGACUAGGAGGCAGGAGAGGCAAGCGGUACUCAGUGGGUAGGGGUAAAAUCCGUUGAUCCAUUGAAGACCACCAGUGGCGAAGGCGGCUUGCCAGAAUGCGCUCGACGGUGAGGGAUGAAAGCUGGGGGAGCAAACCGG
rnacentral:rRNA from 1 species